AUGGAGAAGCCGACGACUACCCACUGGACGGCUGUCAAGCAAAUCCUUCGGUAUGUAAAGAGCACUCUGAAAUAUGGUUGCUGCUACCGGCGUGGUACUGGGAAGGCCGCACUACUGGGUUACAGCGACAGCGAUCACGCUGGAGACGUCGGAGACCGCAAGAGCACCUUUGGACAGGUCUUCUUCCUCGGCGAGAACCCUGUCUCAUGGAACUCCCAGAAGCAGAGAAUCGUUGCGAUCAGUUCUUGCGAGGCUGAAUAUGUAGCAGCAGCGGCGGCCACCUGUCAAGGCCUCUGGAUGAGCCGUCUUCUUGCAGAAAUGAGAGGGGAAGAGGUCAGCGCGUUCAAACUCCUAGUCAACAACAAGUCAGCCAUUGCUUUGGCGAAGAAUCCAGUCCAUCAUGACCCAAGUAAGCACAUUGACAUCAAGUUUCACUUUAUUCGUGAUUGUGUGGAGACUGGACAGGUGGACAUUGAUCAUGUUAGCACUGACGAUCAGCUUGCCGAUGCUCUGACCAAGGCACUGGGACGUGUGCAGUUCAUUGAGCUGUGA
rnacentral:rRNA from 1 species